rnacentral:lncRNA from 1 species
UGAUAAAGGCCUUUUGGAAGCAGAUAAAAGGUGUGUUUGGCUGCCUGGCGGCCUUGAACCUUUCACUCUGCUUUGUCCAGCUGGGUUUGGAGAUUGAGGUCUGGGAGUGUGAUUGUGUAUUUGUUCCAACUGAUACUGGAGUUGUUUGCUUUGAACAAUGUGACUUUGUUCCUUUGUUGGAUGGGGCCCUGCAGCAGAGCUGUUGCUUAGGAAAGGAAAGGAAAAAAAAAAAAAACCACACAUCGGGAACUUGUUACAAGUAGAAGGGUUUUAUGGGUCAUAUGUUGGUGCGAGAGUCCAGGCAGGUUAGUGGGGCGAUAGAGACAGAGACUCAGCUGUCCUGGUGUCUGGAGGGACAGCCUCAAUGGACUUCCUUUCCAUGGCUGCCCUGAGGCAGAGGCACAGGCCCUGGGCUAUUUCCAAGAAGGUGCUCCCAGCAGUUUACCAGGAGCCAGGAAAGAAAGCUUCAUUUUAUUUCAAAAUCAUUGGCGGAGAUCCCAUCAAGGCGCAAUGGAAACGAAUCCAAGUAGGAACCAUGAGGUUGAGGGUUCGAUCCCUGGCCUCGCUCAGUGGGUUAAGGAUUUGACAUUGCUGUGGCUGUGGUGUAGGCCAGCAGAUUUGACCCCUAGCCUGGGAACCUCCAUAUGCUGUGGGUGUGGCCCUAAAAAGAAAAAAAAAAUCAUUGGCAAUUUGCUUCCCCCAGAAGAGGGGACUCUUUAAUUGUACCCUGUAGGGCAAGGCAGCCACAAGCUGAGAGCCCUGCUGGUGUGAACUGAAACUGUAAGCACACCUACUGUGUGCCGGGCAGCGGACCCAACACUGCUAAACACUUGUCUACGCCUCAUCUCGUUAAAGCAGCUGAUGACCUCAUGGGACAGGUCCAAAGCUGUGGACUGCAGGCAACUCAUAGAGCCCUUCCCAGCCCCACAUCCAGAGACCUUAGAGCACUAGGUCGAAAAGUUGGCCCUGAUGGAAGUGUUUACACCAUGGAGAUUGGCAAAUGCUAGGAGUUCAGAAGGUUUUUUUUUUUUUUUUUUUGGUUUUUGGGGAACUAGUUGUUCAACACACCAUUGGAUAGACAUGAGAAUAUCCCCAGUUUACAGAGGAGAAACUGAAAUCUUAAAAAAAAUGUUUUACUUUACUGAAGUAUAGUUGAUUAGCCAUGUUGUAAUUUCUGCUGUACAGCAAAGCAAUUCAGUUAUACAUUCUUUUUCAUAUUCUUUUCUAUUAUGGUUGAUGACAGGAUAUUGAAUAUAAUUCCCUGUGCUGUACAGUAGGACCUUGUUGUUUAUUCAUUCUAUAUAUAAUAGUUUAUAUCUGCUAACCCCAAACUCCCAAUCCUUCCCUCCCCCACCUCCUCCCCCUUGGCAACCACAAGUCUGUUCUCUAUGUCUGUGAGUCUGUUUCAUAAAUAAGUUCAUCGGUAUCUUAUUUUAGACUCCACAUAAAAGUGGUUUCAUAUGACAGUUGUCUUUCUCUGUCUGACUUACUUCACUUAGUAUGAUAAUCUCUAGGUCCAUCCAUAUGGCUGCAAAUGGCAUUAUUUCAUUCUUUCUUUUGUGGCUGAGUAGUAUCCCAUUGUAUAUACGUACCAUGUCUUUUUUAGCCGUUUCUCUGUCAGUGUGCAUUUAGGUUGCUUCCAUGUCUUGGCUAUUGUGAAUAGUGCUGCGAUGAACAUAAGGUACAUUUAUCUUUUUGAAUUGUGGUUUUCUCCAGAUAGAUGCCCAGAAAUGGUAUUGCUGGAUCAUAUGGUAGCUCUACUUUUAAUUUUUCAAGGAAACUCCAUACUGUUUUCCACAGUGGUUGUACCAAUUUACAUUCCCACCAACAGUGUAGGAGGGUUCCUUUUUCUCCAUACCCUCUCCAGCAUCUGUUAUUCGUAGAUUUUUUUAAAUGAUGACCAUUCUGACCGGUGCGAGAUUUUACCUCAUUAUAGUUUUAAUUUGCAGGAAAUCAGGUCUUAAGAAACUUGUCGGGGGGUCACACAGUUUCAAAUCCAAGUCCUCCAAAAAAAAGGCCUUCCGCUGAGACCUCCUGUGGUGUGCAUUUAGGAGAAAGCUAGAAGAGGCCAGGGAGCCUAGAGGGAAGGGGUAGAAAAAGCAACUUUUGGAGCUAAACUGUCAGGAAGAGCGAGGGGCAGUGAUUUCGUUGGAUUGCCACCUGCCACAUGUCUGAAGGACCCAAACAAUAGGAUUUUGCUGCAAGAUUUCCUGCAGGAGCUACUAGGAGAAAGAGCCAAAAGGAACCUUCCUGAAAUGAGGGUCUUGGGGACACUGGGAUCCUGGGGGCUGCUCUGAGGCCUUCCCAGAUUACUGGGGCAGGGCAGGAGGCCCAGAGGAUUUCUGCAGAGCCGAGCCCUGCAAGCUGCUUGGAAGCACCCCCGAAGAGCCCAGAGGCUAUGCUCAGGGCCUGGCAGACGCAAGCACUACCUCACCCAGCACAGAGACCCUCACCACCUGCCCUGGGACCAGCCCUCCUCACUUCCUCUUUGGGACAAGAAACCCAUAUUCCAUCCCAACAACCCUGGAAGUGCUCUGGCCAUUUCCAGGGUCACCAGACUCUCAGGAGCAAGGAGGUGAAGGUGGGUGUGCUGGGAGUAACUCCUCUGGGUGUCCACCACCCCGGUUUGCAAACCUCAGACCGUGCUGGCCAGGGCAACACUGGGGCAGCCAGGUUGUCAGGAAACUGCCCCCAUAGAAGGUUGGACACCUGCAGACCAUGUGGGUGUGAUUUCUGGGUCACCCAUGUGCCCUUGUGAUGUGGGGCGGGGAGGCAGGGAGUAGAGUUGGGAGGAACAAGGGACCUCAGGAGAACCCAUGGGUUCUCAGAGAAGGAAUGGGGCAGGAAAGAUGCACAGGGAUUCUCGAGUUUAGCUGCUCAGGUGAGAAGGAAGAGCUGCCCUCCCCACCUCUACGUCUGUACCACCCUCCACCUGCUACUGAUGAGAUUCUGUUCUCUCUCCCUUCCUGCUGGGUCAUGGCUCCGGGAUGGAUGGUGGCUGCCCAAGCUGGCUGGUACAUUUCUAUUCCUUUUCUGCCAUGGAGACCCCGAGUCAGCUCAGGGGCCACCUGGGACACCCACAGUCCAGGUGUGUGAUAUUUGCAUUCCCCUCCAAACUGGGUGCUAGGAAACCCAGCUUUGGGUCAUGGAGAGAGAUCACAUUUCCCAUAAAGCCCAUAACAAAUGCAGAAUGCGAUCGAAACAGUGUCUAGCACCAUUUUGCCCUUAGUGGAACACCAUUAUAAAUUGCCUCUUGUUGUGCAUUGGUAAACUUUACAAGAUAAUGGAGCUGGAGUGAGUGGUGAUGUUGUUGGAGGUUUCUCCUCCCUCCUUAACUUUCUAAAUCUUUCCUGGCUUUGUGGAAUUGCUGCCUAGUGCAGUAGUAAAUGAUGUAUGAAAUGAAGUAUUGCUUCCCCCCAGCCAAGCAAUGGCUUUGCCAUCGUUGCUCCUAUAUGUAUUAUUUGGAGUUAUGUUUGGGCUGGCUGCCAUCAGAGAAGCCCAAUGUUUAAGCAAGCAAACAAACAAAAAGACCAAGAAGGAAGGUGAGGAAGAAAGAGGAAAAUAAGAAAAAUUUGUAUGAUAAGCAAAAUAGCCUGGGGAGUUCCUGUCGUGGUGCAGUGGUUAACAAAUCCGACUAGGAACCAUGAGGUUUCGGGUUUGAUCCCUGCCCUUGCUCAGUGGAUUAAGGAGCUGGCGUUGCCGUGAACUGUGGUGCAGGUUGCAGACACGGCUCAGAUCCUGCGUUGCUGUGGCUCUGGCAUAGGCCGGCGGCUACAGCUCCAGUUAGACCCCUAGCCUGGGAACCUCCAAUUGCCACGGGAGUGGCCCUAGAAAAGGCAAAAAGC